rnacentral:rRNA from 1 species
UACGGAGGGUGCAAGCGUUAUCCGGAUUCACUGGGCUUAAAGGGUGCGUAGGUGGGUAAGUAAGUCAGUGGUGAAAUCUCCGGGCUUAACCCGGAAACUGCCAUUGAUACUAUUUGUCUUGAAUACUGUGGAGGUCAGCGGAAUAUGUCAUGUAGCGGUGAAAUGCUUAGAUAUGACAUAGAACACCAAUUGCGAAGGCAGCUGGCUACACAAAUAUUGACACUGAGGCACGAAAGCGUGGGGAUCAAACAGG